GGAAUCUUCGGCAAUGGACGAAAGUCUGACCGAGCAACGCCGCGUGAGUGAAGAAGGUUUUCGGAUCGUAAAACUCUGUUGGUAGAGAAGAACGUUGGUGAGAGUGGAAAGCUCAUCAAGUGACGGUAACUACCCAGAAAGGGACCGCUAACUACGUGCCAGCAGCCGCGGUAAUACGUAGGUCCCGAGCGUUGUCCGGAUUUAUUGGGCGUAAAGCGAGCGCAGACGGUUGAUUAAGUCUGAUGUGAAAGCCCGGAGCUCAACUCCGGAAUGGCAUUGGAAACUGGUUAACUUGAGUGCAGUAGAGGUAAGUGGAACUCCAUGUGUAGCGGUGGAAUGCGUAGAUAUAUGGAAGAACACCAGUGGCGAAGGCGGCUUACUGGACUGUAACUGACGUUGAGGCUCGAAAGUGCGGGUAGCAAACA
rnacentral:rRNA from 1 species